rnacentral:rRNA from 1 species
ACCGAAUAGAUACCCAGGUAGUCCACGCCCUAAACGAUGCGAACUGGAUGUUGGGUACAUUACGGUACUCAGUGUCGAAAGCUAAACGCGUUAAGUUCGCCGCCUGGGGAGUACGGUCGCAAGACUGAAACUCAAAGGAAUUGACGGGGGCCCGGCACAAGCGGUGGAGUAUGUGGUUUAAUUACGAUGCAACGCGAAGAACCUUACCUGGCCUUGUACAUCUGUCGAAUCCUGCAGAGAUGCGGGAGUGCCGCAAGGAACGACAAGACAGGUGCUGCAUGGCUGUCGUCAGCUCGUGUCGUGAGAUGUUGGGUUAAAGUUCCCGCAACGAGCGCAACCCUUGUCCCUACGUUGCCAGCACGUAAUGGUGGGAACUCUAGGGAGACUGCCGGUGACAAACCGGAGGAAGGUGGGGGUAUGACGUCAAGUCCUCAUGGCUCUUAC